rnacentral:rRNA from 1 species
AGCGAACGCUGGCGGCGUACUUAACACAUGCAAGUCGAACGGGGAUCGUCGGUGUAGCAAUACAUCGGCGGUCCUAGUGGCGCACGGGUGAGUAACACGUGGGUAACCUGUCCUUGAGUUCGGGAUACCCUCUCGAAAGGGAGGCUAAUACCGGAUACGUUCCCCGGAUUGCGAAGUCUGGGGAGGGAAAGGUAGGCGCAAGCUGCCGCUCUUGGAGGGGCGUCGCGGCCUAUCAGC